rnacentral:rRNA from 1 species
AACAUGACUCUCGGCAACGGAUAUCUCGGCUCUCGCAUCGAUGAAGAACGUAGCAAAAUGCGAUACCUGGUGUGAAUUGCAGAAUCCCGUGAACCAUCGAGUUUUUGAACGCAAGUUGCGCCCGAGGCCUUUUGGUUGAGGGCACGUCUGCCUGGGCGUCACGC